rnacentral:sRNA from 1 species
UCCUUUUUCUAGAGAUUCUAGAGAAAAUGAGACAAAGUGAAGCCAGAGAAUCGUCU